AGUGAACGCUGGCGGUAGGCCUAACACAUGCAAGUCGAACGGCAGCACAGUAAGAGCUUGCUCUUACGGGUGGCGAGUGGCGGACGGGUGAGGCAUACAUCGGAAUCUACUUUUUCGUGGGGGAUAACGUAGGGACACUUACGCUAAUACAGCAUACGACCUACGGGUGAAAGCAGGGGAUCUUCGGACCUUGCCCGAUUGAAUGAGCCGAUGUCGGAUUAGCUAGUUGGCGGGGUAAAGGCCCACCAAGGCGACGAUCCGUAGCUGGUCUGAGAGGAUGAUCGGCCACACUGGAACUGAGACACGGUCCAGACUCCUACGGGAGGCAGCAGUGGGGAAUAUUGGGCAAUGGGCGCAAGCCUGAUCCAGCCAUACCACGUGGGUGAAGAAGGCCUUCGGGUUGUAAAGCCCUUUUGUUGGGAAAGAAAAGCAGCAGGUUAAGACCCCGCUGUUCUGACGGUACCCAAAGAAUAAGCACCGGCUAACUUCGUG
rnacentral:rRNA from 1 species